UACGUAGGGUGCAAGCGUUGUCCGGAAUUAUUGGGCGUAAAGAGCUCGUAGGCGGUUUGUCGCGUCUGCUGUGAAAACGCGAGGCUCAACCUCGCGCCUGCAGUGGGUACGGGCAGACUAGAGUUCGGUAGGGGAGACUGGAAUUCCUGGUGUAGCGGUGAAAUGCGCAGAUAUCAGGAGGAACACCGAUGGCGAAGGCAGGUCUCUGGGCCGAUACUGACGCUGAGGAGCGAAAGCGUGGGGAGCGAACAGG
rnacentral:rRNA from 1 species